rnacentral:sRNA from 1 species
AUUGGUCAGGAUGUCCUGUGUCCGCCGGAUCCUGAGCGCCAUCUGGUGCUGCUUGG